rnacentral:rRNA from 1 species
UACGUAGGGGCCAAGCGUUGUCCGGAUUUAUUGGGCGUAAAGAGCUCGUAGGCGGCUCGGUAAGUCAGGUGUGAAACCUCCAGGCUCAACCUGGAGACGCCACCUGAUACUGCUGUGGCUAGAGUCCGGUAGGGGAGCGUGGAAUUCCUGGUGUAGCGGUGAAAUGCGCAGAUAUCAGGAGGAACACCAGCGGCGAAGGCGGCGCUCUGGGCCGGAACUGACGCUGAGGAGCGAAAGCGUGGGUAGCAAACAGG